UUUGGAGGAAGUGGCUGGUUUGUAUAGGAAGGUGAUUUUACAUCUAUGGAAAGGAGCUGUAAGUUACUACCCCUAAGGCCUGCUGGGCUGUGCCUUAAGGAGACUGCCAGCUAUGUCCCCUAUCUAAAAAUGAGUGUGCCCUUGCCAACUGGUGACACAGCAUUGCCCUCCAGAAUACGUUCCUCUGAAUGAUGCAGACUGAUUCCAGCCAGCUACAGCAUAUUCUCCUUGGUUUAUUGGAUGGGCUCAUCAAAUAGAACAGUGCAUUGGAUUUGGAGUUCUGUGUUCCUACCAGAUAUGACUACCCAACAAGAUUAGUCAGAGAAGCUCAUGGAAGCUCUCUCAUGUCUUACUGGGAAUGGCUACUUUACUUAGCAA